UACGGGGGGGAGCAAACGUUGUUCGGAAUCACUGGGCGUAAAGGGAGCGUAGGCGGCCAUGUAAGUGAGGUGUUAAAUCCCCCGGCUCAACCGGGGACCUGCACCUCAUACUGCACGGCUUGAGUACAUCAGAGGAGACUGGAAUUCCCGGUGUAGCGGUGAAAUGCGUAGAUAUCAGGAGGAACACCUAUAGCGAAGGCAGCUUGCUGGGACGUUACUGACGCUAAGGCGCGAAAGCGUGGGGAGCGAACAGG
rnacentral:rRNA from 1 species